AUUGAACGCUGGCGGCAGGCCUAACACAUGCAAGUCGAACGAGUGGCGGACGGGUGAGUAAUGUCUGGGCAACUGCCUGAUGGAGGGGGAUAACUACUGGAAACGGUAGCUAAUACCGCAUACCAUCGGAUGUGCCCAGAUGGGAUUAGCUGGUUGGUGGGGUAAGGGCCUACAAAGGCGACGAUCCGUAGCGGGUUUGAGAGGAUGACCAGCAACACUGGAACUGAGACACGGUCCAGACUCCGACGGGAGGCAGCAGUGGGGAAUAUUGGACAAUGGGCGAAAGCCGGAUGCAGCCAGGCCGCGUGUGUGAAGAAGGUCUUCGGUUUGUAAAGCACGUUGAGAUGGGAGGCGUUACCAACAGAAGAAGCACCGGCUAACUACGUGCCAGCCGCCGCGGUAAUUC
rnacentral:rRNA from 1 species